GGGUGCGGUUGUUCAGCGCUUGGCCUUCCGCUAUGUCCUGCGGAGAUCGCCUGGCGGCCGGGCCUCCCGCCGCACCCUUCUGGGAGAUGCUGGCAUUGCUGGCCCAGGAGCCAGGCAUGGAGUCUCGCUGGCCAGGCGGAUCCUCUGCCAUCGUGUGGGACCGUGGCGGUGGCACAUCCUGGUGUUUCGUGGCAGUGUGGAGACUGCGGUGUGGCGACUGCUGUCACCACAGGCUUUCAUUUUGUACCCCUGAAAUGGAAGUGAAGUCUAGGAAGUAGCUGAAGAGGUGAUGAAGACUCAACCACGAUGUCAACUUUGCUGAGUUCUCUGAUCCCAGCACUGAGAAGAACAGAAAUCUGUUUAAGGGACAGCUAUCAUAGAGAGACUUGCUUAUUUCACUACACAGCAAGGAGGACACCAGACAUUCUGCAGCAGCUCACAUAGCAGCACACAGGGCAUGUCAUGCUCGUGCUCUUGGUUUGUUUACCGUGCCCUGGCUUUCUGCUGAAGACGUUUUGUUUCAUUUCAUGUUCUCAGGACAUACCGCCUCAGAGCUUCGUAAUUGCUAAGGCUGCAGAGCUGGAAGCUGCUGUAGCAUCUAAACCUAAUGUGCUUGAUGGUUUGCUUAUUGUGGGCAUCUGGUUUUGAGCUGGCGUCUGAGUGAGCUGAGCAUGACCAAGUUUUAGCAUAAAUGGCAGUGUGUUCUUGAUGAUGCAGCUUGGUCAGAUUCUGUUACAGGAAAAAACUGGCAGAGUCUGCAAGGAAAAGGAGUACAUCCAGCUGUUGUGCAUCCCUUACAAGAAGCUUCAGGUCCCUUGCUGUUGGAGAUGAAGACAGAGCUGCUCUCUUUGAGGUCAACCUGAUCUGCCAUAUCAGUGACUUAAUGAACAAUUGUUGGUUAGAUGAGUAUGGCAGAGAGGUCUGUAUCUCUUUUCUGUGGGGACUCCUCUGUUUUCUGCCACUUCUGUCCUGUCAAGGUGCUUUCAAAGGGGACACUUAAGAAAUCAAUUGUGGUCGUAUUAAUAUUAGUGCAAACCCAGAAUAAUUUGACUGAAGGUAGAGUUGCUCUGAGUUUAUGCUAGCAUUCUUGUGAUCGAAACUUACUUUUCAGAAAAGUAGCCAAAAAGGAAAGCCAACAAAUUUUUCCCAGCCUCAGAUGCUUCUUGGGAGGAAGCCUGAAGAAUGAAAGUAUGCACAUACUGUAAGAUGCUUCAAUAGCUAAAACUUAUAAAAAGUUGUUUUCCCUCAGAGAUGAGUUGUUACUGCUUGUCUCAUCCUAUGUUGAGGCUUGUUAGGCACAAAUAAAGCUUUUGUAUUGUGAUAGUUUAGAGGUUGUUCUGAACAUAUAUAUAUUAAAGUAGGCAGCUUUGCAGUAGUUGUAAUCUUGGAAAUUAGUUUAAUGAGUUUAGAAAACCACUUUUGGAGUGGAUUGUCAAGGGAACUAUUUAUAUCCUCAGUAAAGCAGUUUUUUCUUCCUCUAAAUUCUGGAAAUGUGGAGAAAUUCCCUGGGUGGACUGUUAUGUAUGAUUAGAUGGAGCUGAAACAAUUAGGUAGUGCCAAAAUUUGUGACAAAAAUGUCUGCUUAGUGUCUUUCUAGAUGUUUUACAAUGUAAGCAAAACUGUAUGCAACACUGGCCAAGUAGCAGGUAUGAAUACUGUGGUAGCAGUCAUCCUGCAAUUGGAGUUCUGUUUAGAUUGAUACAUUAUGGUCUGGUUUCUUUCUUGACUUUAUCUUUGGCAUCCUGCCUUUGCAGCCAGCUGCUCUGUAUUAGUACACAAUAUUAAUCUUAGCUGUUUGCAGGGAACUUGGAUAAGGAUACAAAUGGGGUAAGGAUACAAAUGUUUAGAUGUAAUUUAGUUUGUGUUGCAAGGUAGAUCUGAGUUUACCAGGAAAGCUGUUAUCUUCAGGGGGUGCUAGGGAUUGCCUCUAUGUAGAUUCCCUUGUGUAUAUAAUGUUUUGGUACCUCUUUAUAAGGAUGUUACUUCUGACCCUCUCCUCCACUUUGAAUUUUAAAGAUAAAAUUUAGUUCUGAGUUAGCAUCUGAAAUGAUGUCCGCCCUUUAGUCUACUUCAGUAAACUUCUGAGUUUAUUCAGUUUUUGUGAAGUCCACCUGAGCUGAUGGAAUUGUGUUCUGGGGUUCCUACAGUUGUCAUCUGCCUGUACCACAGUAGCUGGGGGGCUUCUUUCCACUUCUCAAGGCUGAGGUACUGUGUUGUCUUCCAUGUUGCAAGAGCAAUCAGGCAGAAGAUAUUUGAGUCUCUCUAUACCCUUGUAACAGGGUAAAAAAUUUCUAUAAUAAUCCAAUUUGUUUUAGAGCAUCAGGCUGCCCGUCUUUGUGUAGAGCAUAGAUCCUGCAGUCAGCCACUCAAAAGCAUGAUCUAAAGCUGGAAGUGACCCCAAUGAGAGAGAGCUGUAUAUAAAAUAGCUUUCUGACAGCUAAAGCUAUAAAAUAGCUUUGUUCUUAACCCUGACAGCUACUGAAUGCUUUGCAAGGACAAUAAAGUACCUUGUCCUGGUGAAAAAGGAUGAAUGCGCUGCAAUUUAGAUCUUACUAAACAAUGCAAGGCUUCUCAGGACAAAAGGUUCCUCUACUUCAUGUGCUGCAAGGUGGUUGAUAGAGCUGCAUGUGUAAGUGGACCAAAAAUAAAAUUUACUUUCAGAAAAAAAUUAUGACUAACAUUUAAAUUAGGCUUUUCUGUUUCUGGAAAAUGUGGCUAAUAUUCCACAUCAUCUCAUGACCUAACAUGCUGAACACUUCCUAAUGUAUUUCCUAUCUUGUGUGUAUGACAGAAGAAGAAAGUAUGAAUGAGUAUGCUAGUUUCAGGUGGUAGGGGAUUUUGAGAGAGAAGGAAGCAGGAAGCAGUAGGUGGGUUGAGAAAAUGAGGUGGAGAGGAACAUGCUGCAUGUAAAUGAAGUGCUGUAUUCUGCUUCCCUAGAGCAAGCACAGUAAGGCUGUUCUACUGGCAAGAAGAGCUGUUGUUACCUGUGCUGUAAAGACUUUGUUUCGUCUAAGGAGAGGAGUCUUGACUCUGAGGAGUUAGUGUGCUGCUUGACCCCAUCAUAAGAUAAUGUUCUGUAGCAAAUGCUGUGAAGAAUGUGAGCACAACAGCUUCUGGGGAGAAAAAUUGGCAGGAAGGCAAGUAGAAGCAGACUGUGAGACACUUCUUACAAACUGUGCUUAGAAACCAAUCUGUUCUUCUUUAUUGUUCUCUGGUGAAGGGAUGGAUUAUAAAUGGUACAGACGGCCUUGAGGCCUGUGAUAAUACUGUAUCUGUAGCUUUUCCAGUUGGAGGCUUAAACUCUUAAUGUUUUCCAUGCAAAGAAGGAUGAAAAUACAUUUAAAAAAAAGUCUGGAAAUGUACAUGUCAAAACCUCAGCUUCAGGAGCAAACAAUUAUUUAGGCAGGGGAGGAAAGGUAUCUUUAAUUGAAAGAACAAACUUUUAAAAUGUUUUUAAACUUCUUUCCUGCUUUGUUUGUGGUUUGUCCAAGAUAAAUAUUUUAAACUGGAAGUUAUUAAUAUGAAAAUAUCCCCCCCACACUUUGGUCUGUCCUUAAGGUAUAUGCAAAGUCAAACUUACCUUACAAGGCAGUACACUGAAUUCAGUUUUUUUGAUGUUUUGAUUGCAACCUGUUUGUCCAUACAACCAUCAGAAGUUGCAUGGCAUGUGAGCGUCGUACAGGUUCAGUGCACUGCUGAACGAAUGGUACCCUGUUGUCCAACUGAAUGUAAACAUGAAAACAAUGUUCUGCUCCGUUUAUAGCCCAUACAUGUACUCACAAAUUCAAAAGUUUGAAUAAAAUCAUAUGGAACCAGGGUUGGAUGUUGUGCCUUAACUGAUCUCUGCCUCAGCAGAAGCAGCCUCUGCUCUAAAUAUGGUUUCACAUUGUGCAGUUGUUGACAGUGAUUUAUAUUUGCUCGCACUGAGAUCCUCCUGUGACUGGCCUUGUGUAUAUUUGGCAGAUCCAAGAGCCAGAUUCAGCCAUUAAGUAGUUCUGUUCCUUCUGCUUAUCUUCUUUAAAAAAAAAUCUUUUCUUUGCUAAUCUUGUAUUAAAUUUAAGGUAAAUAAUCAGCGAAAUUAAUCAAAGUAGAUUAAAAUGUGAUAUGAUUUUAUGCAAUAAACAAAGAUUGAGUGUCUGGGUAAACCAGUAGGCUGGCUUAACAGGGCCAUCUGCUGGUGGUUGCACUCUCAGGAGGUAACUUCAGAUUUCACUGGAAACAAGUCUAGUUUGGGGAGAGGUUAAUGACUUGAUUCUGACUUGCAAACAACCAUGACUCUGAAAUUAUCGUUGUAAGCUGCUUUGUACUUGUGUCAAUUCCCGACUCUGUAGCAGAACUUAUUACUGUAAAAAUAGAGAACUGCUUGAGUAUAAAUUUAUGCUCCAUUCAAAUGUUAAAUGGGAUGUUUCAUCUGGGAGUAGCAUUAUUGUAGAUUAAGCCACAAUUUAAAACUAUAUUGCAAGGAAGCGUGGGUUUGUGGAUGAAUCUCUCAGAUCAUUAAAUAACAAAUAAUGUUAAUACUCUUUACACAAAAUGUCUACUUAAGGGACAUUUGGUUUAAAAUUACAGAUUAAAUUUCUUAUAAAAAAAAAGCUGAAUGGUGUGGUGUACUGAUUGUUAAAUUUUUUAACUCUAAUAUCGAAAAGGCUUUUGGAUAUAUUUUAUUAUAAGCACUGCAAUUAAUGUAGCAUCAUAAGUGUCUUCUGUAUUCUUCUGUAUGCUCGCUGUCUGCAUGCCCUGUAUGUGGCAGCUCCUGGAUAUAUUUGACUGGAAAGUACUGGUUAUGAUCUAUUCCUUUACAAGUUUAUAAUGAAUAACAUGAAAUAUGUGCAUAGGAAUAAACUAAAUAACACAUGCAAGCAUGCCUCUUGUUUUCUUACUUUGAAAACCUGCGAUUUCCUUUGGAAAGGACACAUUACAAUAAAGGUGCAGGGUUCUUUAAUAUAAGUGAUCUUAUGUGAAUUACUGUGUAUCAAGCUGUGC